rnacentral:rRNA from 1 species
AUUGAACGCUGGCGGCAGGCCUAACACAUGCAAGUCGGGCGGAUGAAGGGAGCUUGCUCCUGGAUUCGGCGGCGGACGGGUGAGUAAUGCCUAGGAAUCUGCCUGGUAGUGGGGGAUAACGUCCGGAAACGGGCGCUAAUACCGCAUACGUCCUGAGGGAGAAAGUGGGGGAUCUUCGGACCUCACGCUAUCAGAUGAGCCUAGGUCGGAUUAGCUAGUUGGUGGGGUAAAGGCCUACCAAGGCGACGAUCCGUAACUGGUCUGAGAGGAUGAUCAGUCACACUGGAACUGAGACACGGUCCAGACUCCUACGGGAGGCAGCAGUGGGGAAUAUUGGACAAUGGGCGAAAGCCUGAUCCAGCCAUGCCGCGUGUGUGUAGAAGGUCUUCGGAUUGUAAAGCACUUUAAGUUGGGAGGAAGGGCAGUAAGUUAAUACCUUGCUGUUUUGACGUUACCAACAGAAUAAGCACCGGCUAACUUCGUG